GUCAUCAACAUCUAGCAACAGUGAGAUGGAUGUAAGUGAGAGAGAUCAAUCUGUUACUGUAGAGACACCAAGCAAACGUAUUCCUCAGUAUGAUAAUUGCUUUCCUGCUUCCUCUCCACCACCACCACCUCCAUCCCCAUUGCAAACAUCCUACAUUGAUAACAGGAACCGGGAGGUAGAGGAUAUUGGCUACACUAAUAUGGAGGAUAUAGAUUAGAGCUGAUCUCUGCUGGUCAAGGGGAAAAAAUAUGGUGUAUUCAAACUGAAGAAGAAUGAUGAUGAAGGAGUAGAGAUUGAAAAAAAAAUGAUACUGCAAUUUGAAACAGAUUGUGAUUAUUUGCUUGUAUUUUUAUCUUGUUACUUUUACAUUAUUGAUAUUUGUCCCCCCCCCCCCCAUUCAUGAAUACCAUGUCACUAUUUUAUUUAUGAGUAUGUAAAAGUAACCAACUUAUUAAUCUGUUUUUUUUUUCCAAGGCAUAAAGCAUCUGAUUCUGUUGAUGUUUGUUCUGAACAUUUUAUUUCAUAAUAUAAAUGUGCUAAUACUCUGUGCAAUAUUGCAAUGAUGAGUUUAAAGAAUCAUCUUGAUUGUUUGCCAUAAUUUGUGCAUUUUGUUUAGAUAUGAUUUUUUGUUUGACCCUUUUUAAGAGGAAAUCCUGAUAUCUACCUAUAUGUUACAUAUACUAUUCAGGUACACAUGUAUCACCUUUUUAAAAGAACAGAAAAUAUAAUAUCCAAUAGCUAGCUCUUUUUCUUUCUAUAAAAUAAAUCAGUGUGAACUUAGCUUUGUUGAAUCUUUAGUCUCAGAUGUAAAUAAAUAAUGGGUACAAAAUUGUGAGACAAAUCUCAAACAGUAGAUGCUGGACCAUCACAGUCAUAGUACUCAAAACUAUAAUGUGGAGUAAGGAUAUUUGAUGCCUGAAAUGUUGGAAACAUUAGGAACAUAAUAGGCAAUGUAGACCAAGUUGUUGAAGUUAAUUUUCCAUAUUUGAAAAACAAUUUUUAGCAUGGUGUGUCACAGUGGUCCAAGUAUGAAUAGCAAAAUGGGACACAAAUAUAGUUAUCAGCAUUUUGAGCAAUGAAACUAUUGAAAACUGUCUUUGAAUAAAAAGUGAGAUAAUCACUUAUGGCUACCCAAAAGCUACAUUAUAAGUUUGAAUCAUGGUUAAACUUUCAGCUUAGGCAAUAAUUAUUAGACCAUACUGUAUGGGAGCUUAUUAGGAAACUGGUCUUAUAGUAAUUUCCCAAACUGUAGUGCACCAUUCAGAAUUUGGGCCAAUGUUUUCUUUUAAGAAAUAAUUGCUUAAGAGUGUAAACCAAAACUAAUUCAUAUAGGUUAAUAGGAGAAUGAAACAGAAGGAGUUUAAUUUCACUUUCUUUGUUAGUGACCUUGUUUAUUUUAUUUACUACAUUCAUUUAAGUAUAGUAAUUCAAAGAAAACAACCAAUGGUUGUAUUUCCCUGUUAUGGGAUCAACUUUUUAUGUCACUUUGAUAGUUUUGAGUAUCUAUGUCACUGCAAGAUGUACAUGCAUUAAUGAUCCCAUAAAUAUAAAAAUGUACACACCUAAUUUAUUUUGUUAUUUUUAUCAUGAUAUACUUCAUUGUGAAUUAGGAAUUAGGUUUAACUAAAAUCAUCAUGUGAUCUCAAUAUCUUGCUCUCUCUCUCUCCCCCCCCCCCCCCACCUUCCACUCUCUCCCUUUCUCUUCUCUUUUCUCUUUCCCUCCCAUAGCCCAUCUCUUUUCUUUCUCUAUAUCUUUGAUAUGUAUUUAUUCAUCUCUCUCCCCUAGAUAUCCAUCUUUUUUCUCAUUCAUAUGCCCAAUGUUCUCUGCCUCUUUUCCUCUGUAUCCUUCUCUAUCUUUCUUCUUCUGUCUCAACAUUUUUUCUAUUCUUUCACUAGUGUAAAGUGAGUCUGUAUUUAAUGUGUAAUAAAGUCAUUUCAUUCAGUGAGAGUACAUGUAUUUUUUUUGUUAGAUAUCUGAAAUAAACAAGUUAAAUUAAUGAAUAAUUGAUAUUCAUGUUUAAACUGAAAAUAUUUAAUUUUAUUCAAGGUCAAGUUUAAAUACCCAGUUGACAUUUACCAGGGUUAGAAAAAAUAUGAGUUUUAUGAAGAAUUUCACUCUGUGUUUCAUAAUACUUGUGCUACCUAUCUUCAUAAUACUUGUGCUACCUAUCUUCAUUAUCAUGCGAGGAGUAUUUUUUUAAGUGGAUUAACAAUUUUUCCUGCAUUAAAAGAGAGAAAAAAAACACAGGGAUUAAUGCAUGGUAUUGAGUACAUUGUUGUUAACAAAUCUAUCAGGAUGAAGGUGAAUUAGUAACGUUGCAUUACAUGCAUGUGUAAUGAAACACACAGAUUGAUGUGUACAAAACAGUGUUCAUACAAGUAUGUUAUUGCAGUAUAAUUGUUUAAUGAUAAUUCAAGAGAAUAGUAAAAAACAUAAAGGUAUUAGACAUUAUCAUUGUAUUGAUACAAAAUGUAAUUUCUUUUUUUUUUAUUGCUAAAUUGCUAAAUUAAUAUCAAUAUUUUGUUAUUCACAGAAAAGUUGCUCUUACUAUUUAUGAGCAAUGAUGGGCUUUGUAGGAUUCAGUGUAAAACUGUUACUUACACUAUUUACAAUGUGCCGUGAAAAAUAUUUAAUUGACUGAGUUGUGUGGAUUUACCUGUAAAUUUAUUUCACAUGUGAUAUUACUUUGAAGCAAAAAUUGUUGCUGCUUUCUGUCUACAAAAUAAUAUUGAUGAUUUUAAUGUAAACACAUGUGGGCAAACUAUUCUACUUUGAGGAAGAAAUUCACUCUUUAUACAGAUCUGUUAUUUUAGUACCUCUAUGCAAUUAUUAUGAUUGAUUGAAUUGCACUGGGUACAUAAGGAUAUUCAUAGUGCAGUGCAUGUUGACACAUGGAAAUGAUAAUAGAAAAAAUUAAAUAUACUAUUACUAUA